CUCCUCCAGACCUUGUGGUGUGCACGUGGGAGUCCAGGGACUAGAAUACUCAUUUUCAAAGCCUGACAUUGGACCCGGGAGACAGGGAAAAACCAUCCUCAGGAAGUCACAAGAGAAAGAGAGAGCACAGAGGUAUACAGCAUGUGAAACUUUGGACUGCUCAAAGAAGACAUUUUCAAACAUAUCUUUUCAGGACUGUCAAUAGGAACCGUAAGUGAGUUUCAGGUUCGCUCAUCUAAUUGUAGCAGUUAACUGACUGACAAGGUGAAGAAGGAUUGUGGUUUUCUGUUUCAGAUGGAAAAACUAAAAACAUAAGAGAAUCUCACAAUUAUCCACAUAUGCCCCAAAAGUUCAUACUACAGAAGAAUCUAUAUAUACUUAAACAGACUAUUGAGAAAAGUCAAGUUGUUUUUCUAUAUGAACCCAAUAAUGCAUUUUCAAGACACUGGAUAAAUUUAAAGCGCAGAGUGAGGCAGUGAGGAAAUAAAAAUAGAGUCCGCGCUUUCAAGUGUUUCCUGAUCUGCUGGGGAAAAUGGUCAUAUUAACACAUGGAGUCAUGGCACAGUGUGUGCUAAGGAUCAUGGUAAAGGUGUACACAGUGAUUUGCUAACAAGAGGGAUAGAAGGUGUGGCUCAGGGAAUGACACAGCUGUCUGAAAGAGUCAAAAUGUACCACAGAGAACGUGACAGAGAUCUGGAUCUCAAAGAAAUGAGAGGUUGCCUAGGGAGCAACAACAAGGAGGGCAUUCCUGGCAGAGGAAAUGGCAUGUGCAAAGAGACAUCAAGAGGAUGAAGCAUUAGAAAUAUAACUAAAUUAUGGUUAUAGCUUGGGUGCCUAUUAAUAGAUCUGCUCAAUAUUAGGCAAAAACAAUAACAAUUGAGAAUUUGUAUAUCAUCUUUGGUGUCUUCUUUGAUAACUUAUUUUGUGUAUGUGUGUUUUUCUUUCCUGCUACUACUCUGGAGACUUGUUCCACUGGUGACCUUUAUGCAUUCUAAACAAUCGUAAUUUCACAGAGUAAGUUGUUCUCUUCUCCCUAUGUGUUUUGUCACUAGCCAUUGUUUUAAAGUAGCUUGCUUGGUUUUUUGUAUUGCAUCUUGUGAAAGCCUAGAUGCCUAGGGGCUUUCAUACAAAUGUAGAAGUCAAAAUACAUUUCUUCUUGGAAGGUAAUAAAGUGUGAAUGUUUUCAACAAAUAAAG
rnacentral:lncRNA from 10 species